rnacentral:tRNA from 1 species
AUUUAAAUAGCUUAUAAAUAGAGUGUAAUAUUGAAGAUAUUAAGGAGAUUAAAAAAAAUCUUUAAAUA